rnacentral:rRNA from 1 species
UACGGAGGGUGCAAGCGUUAUCCGGAUUCACUGGGUUUAAAGGGUGCGUAGGUGGGUUGAUAAGUCAGUGGUGAAAUCCCCGAGCUUAACUUGGGAACUGCCAUUGAUACUAUUGAUCUUGAAUACCGUGGAGGUCAGCGGAAUAUGUCAUGUAGCGGUGAAAUGCUUAGAGAUGUGGAGGAACACCGAUGGCGAAGGCAGCCUCCUGGGCCAGCACUGACGCUCAUGCACGAAAGCGUGGGGAGCAAACAGG